rnacentral:ncRNA from 2 species
CUAGCUGGUGUCGGAACUGGUUCCGCCAAGGCGGAUGAAAAGGGAACACGGUUGGCCGAGCCAUCGGCACAAGCCGGACUGCCCCCGCAACUGUAACCGUUGAGCCUUCUUCCACGAUGCCACUGGCUAGAGACAGCCGGGAAGGCGGAAGGAAGCGACGACACGGAAGUCAGGAGACCUGCCGGUUUCGGUCACCCAUG